GAUUGAACGCUGGCGGCAGGCCUAACACAUGCAAGUCGAGCGGUAGAGAGGUGCUUGCACCUCUUGAGAGCGGCGGACGGGUGAGUAAUGCCUAGGAAUCUGCCUAGUGGUGGGGGAUAACGUUCGGAAACGGACGCUAAUACCGCAUACGUCCUACGGGAGAAAGCGGGGGACCUUCGGGCCUCGCGCCAUUAGAUGAGCCUAGGUCGGAUUAGCUAGUUGGUGAGGUAAUGGCUCAAACCCGAAGGCGACGAUCCGUAACUGGUCU
rnacentral:rRNA from 1 species